rnacentral:rRNA from 1 species
UUGCUUAUCAUAAGCGGAGGAAAAGAAACCAACCGGGAUUGCCUUAGUAACGGCGAGUGAAGCGGCAAAAGCUCAAAUUUGAAAUCUGGUACCUUCGGUGCCCGAGUUGUAAUUUGGAGAGGGCAACUUUGGGGCCGUUCCUUGUCUAUGUUCCUUGGAACAGGACGUCAUAGAGGGUGAGAAUCCCGUGUGGCGAGGAGUGCGGUUCUUUGUAAAGUGCCUUCGAAGAGUCGAGUUGUUUGGGAAUGCAGCUCUAAGUGGGUGGUAAAUUCCAUCUAAAGCUAAAUAUUGGCGAGAGACCGAUAGCGAACAAGUACAGUGAUGGAAAGAUGAAAAGAACUUUGAAAAGAGAGUGAAAAAGUACGUGAAAUUGUUGAAAGGGAAGGGCAUUUGAUCAGACAUGGUGUUUUGUGCCCUCUGCUCCUUGUGGGUAGGGGAAUCUCGCAUUUCACUGGGCCAGCAUCAGUUUUGGUGGCAGGAUAAAUCCAUAGGAAUGUAGCUUGCCUCGGUAAGUAUUAUAGCCUGUGGGAAUACUGCCAGCUGGGACUGAGGACUGCGACGUAAGUCAAGGAUGCUGGCAUAAUGGUUAUAUGCCGCCCGUCUUGAACAGGGACCAA